rnacentral:tRNA from 1 species
UAGCUCAGUAAGUAGAGCACAAGACUCUUAAUCUCGGUGUCGUGGGUUCAAGCCCCAC